GCCUGGGUGGCUGAGUCGGUUAAGCGUCUGACUUCGGCUCAGGUCACGAUCUCACGGUCUGUGAGUUUGAGCCCCGCAUCGGGCU
rnacentral:tRNA from 1 species